UUGCCCUCUUAAGUCUGUCAGUGUCUUAAGUGGCCAGUACGGAGGGGUAUAACAGUUCUCUCUCAAACCCAGAGGUGAGGCUGAAACUUGUCUUUGGAUCACGCUGAGAGGAACAUGU
ensembl:snoRNA